UCGUAACAAGGUCUCCGUUGGUGAACCAGCGGAGGGAUCAUUACCGAGUUUACAACUCCCAAACCCCUGUGAACAUACCUAUACGUUGCCUCGGCGGAUCAGCCCGCGCCCUGUAAAAAGGGACGGCCCGCCCGAGGACCCUAAACUCUGUUUUUAGUGGAACUUCUGAGUAAAACAAACAAAUAAAUCAAAACUUUCAACAACGGAUCUCUUGGUUCUGGCAUCGAUGAAGAACGCAGCAAAAUGCGAUAAGUAAUGUGAAUUGCAGAAUUCAGUGAAUCAUCGAAUCUUUGAACGCACAUUGCGCCCGCCAGUAUUCUGGCGGGCAUGCCUGUUCGAGCGUCAUUUCAACCCUCAAGCUCAGCUUGGUGUUGGGACUCGCGGUAACCCGCGUUCCCCAAAUCGAUUGGCGGUCACGUCGAGCUUCCAUAGCGUAGUAAUCAUACACCUCGUUACUGGUAAUCGUCGCGGCCACGCCGUAAAACCCCAACUUCUGAAUGUUGACCUCGGAUCAGGUAGGAAUACCCGCUGAACUUAAGCAUAUCA
rnacentral:misc_RNA from 1 species